AGCGCAGGCGGUGCGGCAAGUCUGAUGUGAAAGCCCGGGGCUCAACCCCGGUACUGCAUUGGAAACUGUCGUACUAGAGUGUCGGAGGGGUAAGCGGAAUUCCUAGUGUAGCGGUGAAAUGCGUAGAUAUUAGGAGGAACACCAGUGGCGAAGGCGGCUUCCUGGCCGGAUACUGACGCUCAAGUGCGAAAGCUGGGGGGAGCGAACG
rnacentral:rRNA from 1 species